rnacentral:rRNA from 1 species
GUAGUCUCGCACAGAUGCAUAUCAAUAAGCGGAGGAAAAGAAACUAACAAGGAUUCCCUUAGUAACGGCGAGUGAAGCGGGAAGAGCUCAAAUUUGAAAUCUUCAAGGUUUUACCUUGACGAAUUGUAGUUUAAAGAAGUGUUUCUCUGUUGAAGUUUUGGUAAAAGUUCUUUGGAAUAGGACAUCAUAGAGGGUGAGAAUCCCGUAUUUGACCAUUAUUUUCAGCUGUGUGAUACACUUUCAAAGAGUCGGAUUGUUUGGGAAUGCAGUCCAAAAUGGGUGGUAAAUUUCAUCUAAAGCUAAAUAUUGGCGAGAGACCGAUAGCGAACAAGUACCGUGAGGGAAAGAUGAAAAGAACUUUGAAAAGAGAGUUAAACAGUACGUGAAAUUGUCAAAAGGGAAGCGUUUGACACCAGUGUUGUUUUCUCGAAAAUCAAUUAAAAAGAGUUUAGAUUUUGUUGUGUAUUGACCUUAACAGCUUGCAUUUCAAUUUUCUUGCUUUUUUUAAUGCACUUUUCGUUUAACAAGUCAACAUCAGUUUCUUUUGUUGUAAAAAGGUCAUUGGAAGGUGGCAUUUCUUUUCGGAGAAAGUGUUUAUAGCCUUUGACUCCUGCAAUCGGAGAGACUGAGGUCUGCAGCGUAGAUCCUUCGGGGUUAGAUACAUUUGUGCUAAGUUAUAGCUUUUUAUAGACAACUUGUUGACUAUGAUUAGUCUUGUAGCUUACUCGCUUAUGCUAUUUUACCUACGCUUAGGAUGUUGAGCGCAUGUCUCUCUCU